AAUAAUUUCAUGUCUGCAAGCCGCUGGAUGAUCAGUUUGGAGGGCAAGGUAUUUUAUGAGCCUGAGAAGAUGCAUGACUUUGCCAGCACCCUUGCUGUCUUCUUUGCGUCAUACUAUGUUUUCAACCUUGAGUAUCAGGAGUCAGCGUCCAUCACACUGGAGAUGAUACAGAGGUUCUUUGUGAGGAUCAAUCCAGACAUGGGAACAAAAUGCCCUGCAAAACUUGGUACAAGCCGCAAGACAGAUCGUGUCGUAAAGAGGAAGGUUACAAGCAUCAGCCCUCGGAUCACCACCUUCCUCCAGCGGCUCUCUGAGUUUGAAUGGAGGACUUCCAACUAGGUGGUGAUAAAGACUAUGCUGAACCUGACCAUCCUGGUAACGGAAAUCUAAAUCCCAUGUCACAUUCUAUUUCCUGGGACCCACUGAUAAUUAUUACAUUUUGUAAAUGAUUUUUGCUUUACAAUUGUAAUAGUUUAUUUAAUGUUCAUGCUGGUGGGUUUGUCCUGUUUUUAGUGGAAUGAAAAACUGUUUUCCUUAAAAAACUCAGACACAGAAAGGUGAAGGACUGUGUAGUUUUCAUGUACGCUUCUAUUUAUUUUGGUUAUUGACAUUGUUUUUAUUCAGUUGAAAAAUGUUUUUCUUG